AGAGUUUGAUCCUGGCUCAGGACAAACGCUGGCGGCGUGCGUAACACAUGCAAGUCGAACGGGAUCAGAGGUCUUGAGUGAUCAAGGGCUGUGGUCGAGUGGCGGACGGGUGAGUAACACGUGGAUAACCUGCCCUGGUGUGGGGGAUACCCUGUAGAAAUACGGGCUAAUACCGCAUGCGUUGGUUUUUGGGGAGCCAG
rnacentral:rRNA from 1 species